rnacentral:rRNA from 1 species
UGGUGGGGUGACUUGUCUGCUUAAUUGCGAUAAUGAACGAGACCUUAACCUGCUAAAUAGCCCGCAUUGCUCCGGCAGUGCGCUGGCUUCUUAGAGGGACUUUCGGCUCAAGCCGAAGGAAGUUUGAGGCAAUAACA